UCGUGCGCGAACGUAAGUUGCGUUGAAGUGCCGGGUAUUUAAAUCGUGAAUUUCUCUAUGGUAAUUAGUGUAAGUAAAGUGUUUUACAGUGAAAUCAAAAGUGGAAAUAGUGUUUUAUCGAAAUCAUGCAAAAAGUUUGUACGGGAAGUGUUCGUUUAGUGUUAUUUUGUGAAAAUAAAAAUGUGCAAGUGAAAGAAAGGCUAAUUGAAGUGAAUAGCUAAAAAACCUGCGUUACUCACAUAAAAUACUUUCGCCGUUAAUGCAGGUUUUAUUGAAGUACAAGAAACGAAGAAAACUGUGGUAUACUUUUGGGCUGAGAACAGUCCAUUAACUGCAACUCUGUGGGUAAACAGAUGUCCGCCGCCAUAUUAAUCGUCUUCCGUCAGUUCCGUUUAUUCGUGCGCGAGCGUAAGUUGCGUUGAAAUGCCGGGUCAUUAAAUCGUGGAUUUCAAUAAAAUUUGUUUUUGUAAAAAAGUUUUAUAAAGUGCAAUUAAUAGUUUAAGUAAUGUUCUAUAGAAAUCGUGUAAAAAGUGUGUGCGGAAAGUGUGUAUUUAGUAUUAUUUUCAAAAUUAAACAACGCAGAAGCAAAUGGAAGAAAAGUUAGUUGAAGCGAAUGAGAAGAGGAACUGUUUUACCCACAUAUGGUGAUGUUGUUAAUGCAGUAUUGAUUGGAUUUGAACAGGAAAACUGAUGUAUACUCUUAGGCCAUAUUCAGGGAAUGGAUUAAACAACGUUGUUGUAAUCCUUUUGUUAUGCCAACCAACUCCCACUGCCAUUACACUAAUUAAAGACAUUUUUUCCAUAAUCCAACAAGCAACAACAAAGUGUCUGCGAGUGAGAAACAAAGAAGCAAAGAAAAAGUGAGA